rnacentral:misc_RNA from 1 species
GUCACUGAAGAGUUAUUGAUUUUAAGACAUUCAGCUUCUUCAUGGAAGCUGCUCUCAUUGAAAUCAUGUUUCCUUCCAUGCUUCUCAUCUUUCUUUCCAUCCUUACAGCAAUUCAUCUCAAGCAAUUGAAGGUCAACAACAUUCGGUCGACAGUUUUUCCUUUUAAGAGAUUCAACUGCUUCAUCCAAGCCACACUCAUCCAUUCCAUUUUGUCUCGCAAACUCCUGAUCUUUCUCACUAUUCUUUGAGCAAAGCACCUCAUUAAGAUGAAGAAAGGAGGUUUUCCUAC